rnacentral:rRNA from 1 species
AUCCCAUGCAUCACCUGUGGCCCCCUGUGCUCGGCGCGCUUUCUAAGAGUCACGCUCCUCGGGAUUGGAGCGCAAAGUGGGUGGUAAAUGCCAUCUUAAGCUAAAUAUGGGUUCGAGACCGAUAGCAAACAAGUACCAUGAGGGAAAGGUGAAAAGGACUUUGGAAAGAGAGUUAAAAGUGCCUGAAAUUGCUGUAAGGGAAGCGAAUGGAACCAGUCAGCCUCGGCGAGAUUGCUGCGCGCUCAAGUGAGGCCCUGCUCCGGUAGUGCAAACACGGCUGCAGGCGUCGACCUGGUUGCGCGUGGUCGCUUCUUGCUCUGGGUGUCAGCGUCAGCUCAACUCUGAGGACAACCCCAAGGACAUGGAAGGCCGCCCCCGGGUGGCUGAAGUUGCUUGGCGGAACUCAAGCGUGGACUGCUGGGCGCAACGCGCCUGCGCUGACGACAUGGAUUCGUUCGGCCCGUCUUGAAACACGG